AUUGAACGCUGGCGGCAGGCCUAACACAUGCAAGUCGAGCGAGCGGCGGACGGGUGAGUAAUGUAUGGGGACUGCCCGAUAGAGGGGGAUAACUACUGGAAACGGUGGCUAAUACCGCAUACUAUCGGAUAACCCAUAUGGGAUUAGCUAGUAGGUGGGGUAAAGGCUCACCUAGGCGACGAUCUCUAGCUGGUCUGAGAGGAUGAUCCACCACACUGGGACGGAGAAACGGCCCAGACUCCUACGGAGGCAGGAGGGGGGAAUAUUGCACAAUGGGGGCAAGCCUGAUGGAGCCAAGGCGCGUGUAUGGAGAAGGCCUUAGGGGUGUAAAGUACCUUCAGCGGGGAGGCGUUACCCGCAGAAGAAGCACCGGCUAACUCCGUGCCAGCAGCCGCGGUAAUUC
rnacentral:rRNA from 1 species